rnacentral:tRNA from 1 species
GCAGUGAUGGUUCAGUGGGAGAACUGUCACCUUCUAAGAGGAAAACCUGGGUUCAGACCCCAGCCAAUGCA